AAUCGGUUCAACUUAACAAUGCCUUUCUCCUAAGGGCUAUCAUCCACUACCAAAGUGGUAGUAGUAAGACUUUCGAAAUUUAGUCUGCGUUUUACAGGGCAGAAGAGAUAAGCUGCUUGUUUCACGUUUGAAUGGCAGUUACACCCGCCUUGCUUUAAUCAUCUUGACGCUACGAUCAUUGUUACCAAACCAUCUAACUUUCAACGUAACCAUCAACCAACAUUUAGUCCAUCUUUCUCACUUCCUUUCUCUGACUUUGAGUCAAUCAUCAGUUCAUCACUACCUCGCUCACCAUCAAUUCAACGUGUGGCUGCCAACUUGCCAAGAGAUCAAUUUUCCAGUCAAAUAUGGAAGGUUAAGGCUAAGGUUACCAUUUUUCUUUUUUUGUCAUGAACACAUUCUCUUCAUCUCCAGCUCAACUAACCUGGCGGCCACCACCACACUGAUAGAUAUAUGCUCCGUUCAGUGGUUUCUUAGAUUGAAAGGCAAGUCCAUCCGUGCAUACGAACAGCGAUUUCAAUAACUAUACUCAAGUCGAAUCACAGAACAAAAACAGUAGCUGCCAUUGCCAGCUAUGACAAGGUGCGGCAGGUGUUGUUUGCACUAUACAAUGAAGAUAGUAAACCUCAUUAUGAAUUUUCUUGGGAUUGCAAUUAUUGUCUACUCCCUCUGGCUCCAAAAAAGGUGGAAUGACGGCGCUGCUGAAUUGCCUUCUUAUUCAUCUCUUCCCAAGCCAUGGUUUAUAUAUACAUGUUUAGGUGUGGGAAUUGCUGUCUGCUUGAGCACGCUAUUCAGUUACAUGGUCUCUAAUUGUAUCGGCAACUCUAUCCUUUGCAUAUACAUAUUCAGCGUCUGCUCCCUUCUUUCCCUGGAAGUUGCUGUGAUUGUUACAAUUUUCUUCAAGCAUGACUGGAUUUCGCUAAUAUCUAAAUACAUUGAUGAGAGUAAUGAAGAUUUCAAGAGUUUUUUUAUCUUCCAUGAGAAGAUGUGUCAGUUGAUUGCUCUCUUGAUUUUAGUACCACAGGUCAGUGUUAUUGCUUUAGCAAUAAUUCUGUGGACUAUUGGCAUUGAGAGAAUAACCCAGAACGGGCAUUCAGAAAUACCCGAUUUUACCAGAUCCUUCCUGGUGGGAACUGGCUCUGGCAUUCUCAACAACACCAGACUAAUUUGCGGCAGAUGUGAAGUUUUACGCACAGGGAAUCAAAGACAAAGCUUGUUGUCAUAUAUUAAAAGGGUUUUUAGAAUGCAAUUCCAAAGAAGACCUAUUGUUGGUUAAACUUUUGUUACAAAUAAAUAACACAAAUGUCAAAAAUUUUUGGUACUUUGUGAUGGGUUAUGUUGGAAGCAGAAUCAUAUCCUUUUUUCUUUUUUUCUUGCUAAAUGCCCAUUUCCACGUGAGAAACCAUAUGAAGACAAGACUUGUUGCAAUGAGUUAGCUUCUCCUUCAUCAUGUUUCUCAUGGAGUAUCCAUGGCCUAAGGAAACGACCAGAACUGACUCAAAUGACGAUUCUCUAUGUCAUAAUGUUCCUCCGGCUACUGAUAUUCCAGUCUAAGCGGAAUUAAGAUGUCCUUUCUUUUAUAAUGCUGUUAUCUUGUAUAAAAAGGAAGAGUUCCUUGCAACAAGGACCCCAACCUGAAUAAGGCGAUUGGUGUUUAUCGACCAGAGGUGAGUAUUUGUUACUUUUGACAAUUUUAUUGAUAUUUCUCACCCACAUUGAUCACUGCAAGUACACUUUCAGGAUGGAAUGCUUAUGAUUUCAAGAUUUUGGCAUGAUGCUAAUUAAAAAAUGUGCUUUGCUAUCAUGGGUUGUAUAGUCUUUGCACUCCAAUGCGAUCCUUCUUAUCACCAGCUUUAACCGGUAAAAUGAAGCCAUGAUAUUGUUGCCAGGCUGGUUCUUUCAGGUAUGGUAUCUAGUCAAAUAGAAAAGCCUUCCAUAGCAAUCAG